CUAUGAUCUUGUAAGAGCUUUACAAAAUCAAGAUUGUUUUCAAAUGACUUAGGUUUUGUGAAAUAAAAUAGGGUUGACGUUUCUAGUGAUUUCAAGAGUUUUGUAAUAGAUCUAUGAGUGAAAUUUUUUGGAUUUAUGAUCAUAGUUGUGCUUAAUACGUGUUUUAAAUCUUAGCUCAAUCUAAUGGUUGAAUUAAGGAUUAUUAAGGUUUAAGAAGGUCAAGAUCUCAGAAAGUAGAAUUUUAGGUUUAGUGAGGAUUUUAAAGAUUUCUUACAAUCUAAUAAUUGAAUUAGAGUGAAAUUUGUAUGUAAGGAUAUGAAACUUGUUUUUCAAUGUGUAUAAAAAUUUUGAAAUCAAUCAAAUGGUAAAAAGAAGAGAUAUUGGCUAUAGAAGAUUGGCAUCUAGGUCAGAGAAGGAGGUCGGCCAAUAUCCAAGCACAUUUUUGAGGCUAUCGUAUAUUUGAUAAUUCUAAUCUUUUUUAAAAAUAUUUUUAUUUGUUUUCAACUUAAUUGUUAAAAAGUAUGCAAAUUUUGAAUUAAGAUCAACGGUUCAAUCAUUAGUAAUUGAGGUUUAAAUCUAUUGUAGGAUUAGGAUUUGGUUAGAGUUUGAUUUAGGAUUAGGGUUGGUUUAUGAUUCAAUUUAGAGUUAGGAUUUGGUUAGGAUUUGACUUAGGAUUAAAAUUUGAUUAGGAUUUUAUUUGGAGUUGAUUAGGAUUUGAUUUAAAUUUUAGAAUUUUAUUUGAGUUUGUUUAAGAUUUAAGAUUUAAUUAGUUUUUGGCCUAAAGUUUGAAUGAAGUUUAAUAGGAUUUCAACUAGGAUUAAAUUAAGAUUGAAUUGAGAUGUAUUUGAGAUAUGUUUGUAAUUAUUUUAAUAUUUCUUUAAGAUUUCUUAUUAUUUCUUUGUAAUUCUUUUGAGGUUUUUGUAAAUUUGAUAAGAGCUUGUUUAGCAUUGUCAGUGUUCUAUUAGAAUU
rnacentral:lncRNA from 1 species